GCGGUGAUGGCUCAGUCGAAGCAAGGGAAAGCGCAGCUUUUCAUUGCCGAAGAGAGUCACAGCCUUCCAAGCUGGGGGUCGCGGGUUUGAGUCCCGUUUUCCGCU
rnacentral:tRNA from 1 species